AACGAACGCUGGCGGCAUGCCUAACACAUGCAAGUCGAACGAGAUCUUCGGGUCUAGUGGCGCACGGGUGCGUAACGCGUGGGAAUCUGCCCUUUGGUUCGGAAUAACAGUUGGAAACGACUGCUAAUACCGGAUGAUGACUAAAGUCCAAAGAUUUAUCGCCAGAGGAUGAGCUCGCGUAGGAUUAGCUAGUUGGUGUGGUAAAGGCGCACCAAGGCGACGAUCCUUAGCUGGUCUGAGAGGAUGAUCGGACACACUGGGACUGAGACACGGCCCAGACUCCUACGGGAGGCAGCAGUGGGGAAUAUUGGACAAUGGGCGAAAGCCUGAUCCAGCAAUGCCGCGUGAGUGAUGAAGGCCUUAGGGUUGUAAAGCUCUUUUACCCGGGAUGAUAAUGACAGUACCGGGAGAAUAAGCUCCGGCUAACUCCGUGCCAGCCGCCGCCGUAA
rnacentral:rRNA from 1 species